rnacentral:sRNA from 1 species
AAUGAGAUCCUAAGAUGGCGGUGGCUGCGGCGGUUGGUGCUGCGUAGCUGAGGUCGAAAAGGCGGCCACUGGGGCCAAGGCAGCCAGGAAACGUGUGGGCCUCUCUGCUGCGGUCUCCGAGGGCCGACCGCUGCUGGCGGCGGGUCGUGGGGGCUGACUGCCGCUCUGCCUUUCACAGGAGAGGCUCCUUCUUGUAGAGGAAACAGCUUUGAAGUGUGAAGCGGGAAAAGAGCAGUUCUGAGCUGCAAAAAUUAGUUUCUAAACAGGUAAUUUGACAUUAUUAUCUAUUAUCCUUUGUAUUAGAGUUGGAGAAGACUUUAUGGUGGACACUGCUGUCACAAUUACAGUGCAUGACUGAGGACCCUCUCUGCUUAGUAAACACACUUUCUGGGUUCACUGCCCUGUUUGCUCUGCUUUUCCGCGUGCUGCUUUGGCCUGCCCGUGUAUCUUUGUUAGGAAAGGCCCUGUCAUUCCUUAUUAUUAAGUACUAGAAUGGUUUAUGCAGUACGGUUUGAAAUUUAUUUGUCUUCACAGAAUUUUUUCAACCUGUUUGAAUUUGUCCUAUAACUGGAUAGCCUCUCUUUCCAAAUCCAUUUAAUCUCAAGUUCUCUUCUACAACAUUCCUAUUAAUUGGCUGUUCAUGAACUCUACUUUUUGAACUUGUUAUGCCUUGACCGAAGUUUAGUUGUCUAAAAUUAUUUUAUUAUUAUUUUUUGUACUUCGAUCUCCCUUUCCUGGUAUAAAGUUACUUUAAACAUUACUUUUAGCGCAUGGUGCAUUGCCACAUGCAAGUGACAUAAAGGUAUUCUCUGUCCAGCAGAAUAAAGUCAGUGUUGUAGAAUGUAAGUUCGCUAGGAGAAGUUCAAUAAUUGUUUGCAAAGGGCAGUUUGGAAAAAUGGCUAAAAGAUAAUUAGAAGUUUGUUAAAAGCUUUUUGGAAAUAAUUGCUCUUCAGAAAAAACCUCAGAAAUAAAUAACCUAAAUUUAAUUCUACUCUUAACAUUUUAAGAAAGUUCAUUUUGAAAGUUUUGUAGAAAUUGGCUGGGCGCAGUGGCUCACGCCUGUAAUCCCAGCACUUCGGGAGGCCGAGGUGGGCGGAUGACGAGGUCAGGAGAUCGAGACCAUCCGGCUAACAUGGUGAAACCCCAUCUCUAUUAAAAAUACAAAAAAGAUUAGCCAGGCGUGGUGUCGGGCACCUGUAGUCCCAGCUACUCUGGAGGCAGAGGCAGGAGAAUGGCGUGAACCUGGGAGCAGGAGAUUGCAGUGAGCCGAGAUUGUGCCACUGCACCCCAGCCUGUGCGACAGAGUGAGACUCAGUCUCAAAAAAAAAGAAACUUUUGUAGAAAUCAAUAUAUAUUCUUGCUUUCUACAAAAGCAGACAGAUUUUUAUUUUAUAGCUCUCGUAUGAGGACCUGAAAUGAGACUGUCAUGAGAAAAUACAAAUAGGUAGUUGAUGUAUAUCUUAAUUAUCGUUCUCAGUGGGGUUUUUUUUUCUUUUUUUUUUUUUUUAAACUGGAAGACUAACAAAACAGGGCAAGAAAAAUGGAACUCAAGGGAAAGGUCACAUGUGAGUGUGUGUAUUAGAGUUGUUAAUCCUAGAGUGAUUGCUGUAUGGUAGGCUUUAGUAAAAUAAACAAUAAUUACAAAAUUAUUUAUAAAAUUUUCGUUUUAGCACAUUGGGGAACAUGAUGGAUAAGACGAAUAAAAAUAAAGGGUAAUUGAGUUAACUUCAAUUGGAAGACCUGGGUUUUUUCAGUAGGAGAUUUGGCAAUUUUUUUCUGAAGGAGGAAAGUGGAUUUGAGACUUGGAGAAACUAGUAAGGCUGUGAGAUUCACAAUACAGAGCUAAGAAGACAACCAGAGAUACAUAGCAGUACUUUCAUACAGAUUUGAGUGCCCUACAACGUGCUAUGUAAUGACUAAAGUACUAGAGAUACAACGGUGUGCAAAACAGACAGGGUGCUUUUCUUCAUGGAGUAAACUUACAUUUUAAAAGUAUCUAUGUGUAUGUAGAGUGUAGUAUACCUUAAUAGUGAUCACAGUCAAUGCCAUUUUAUGAUGAUUUCCCCGCUUCUUGACAGCUUGAGAAUAGUAGCAGGGAAAACAGAUAGUGGACUUUAGCCAGAAUUGAGUUGACACAGUAGGCAAGUAGGUGAGGAAGUGAAGGAUGCUAGCUAGCAAGGCAUUUUUGCAAUGACUUACUUGGGUUUGGGUUUGAGUAAAGAAUCAAGGGAUUGAUGGAUUUAGGGAGAGAGAAACGAUCAAGGGGCUGGUAGUAUUCAGGAAGGCUAAGAGCAGUUUCAGCAGGAAUAAAGUGAGAGAAGUAGAAUGCAAAAACUUAUGAUCAGAAAGAGGAACUUCAGAAGUUCAGGAUCCUGAACAAAUUAUCAGUUCAGUAUUGGAAUAGAGAAGAUGAGAUGGAUAUUGGAAUUGAGGCCAGAGUCCUAGAAAAGUCAUUGCAAGUGUUUAGUUCAUGAAAGCAGGGAAUGAAGUAGAAAGUGAAACCAUGUGCCAGUUACUAUCAGGAAAAGUAUAAGAGUAUCUUGGAUAUUUUCAGGGGUGAUUAUGAGUAAUUUAAUGCCGUUUGAGAAAAAAAUAAUUUUUUUCUUUGCUGAGUACUUUGUUUUUUUUUUUUUUUUUUUUUGGAGACAGAGUCUUGCUCUGUUGUCCAGGCUGGAGUGCAGUGGCGCUAUCUUGACUCACUGCAUCCCUCUCCUCCCGAGUUCAAGCAAUUGCUUCUCCUUACUCAGCCUACCAAACAGCUGGGAUUACAGGCAUGCCCCAGCACGCGUGGCUAAUAUUUGCAUUUUUAGUAGAGGCAGAGUUUUGCCAUGUUGACCAGGCGAAUCAAGUGAUCCGCCCGCCUCAGCUUCCCAAAGUGGUGGGAUCACAAGCAUGAGCCACUUCACCUGGCCUGAUUACUUGAUUACUUUGAAUUUCUUCUUUACCUUGUAUUAUUUCAAAAGUAAACUGUAGUCAUAGGUAUUUUCAUGGUAAUUGAUACUGUGAUAUUCUACCGUAAUAAGUCUCUGUAGUUAGAAUCCUGCAAGGGGAUAUUCUUUUUUUUGGCGAUGGAGUCUUGCUCUGGCACCCAGACUGGAAUGCAGCAGCACAGUCUUGGCUUACCGCAACCUCUGCCUCCCAAGUUCAAGUGAUUCUCCUGCCUCAGCCUCCCAAGUAGCUGGGAUUACAGAUGCGUGCCACCACGUCUGACUAAUUUUUGUAUUUUUAAUAUAGAUGGGGUCUUACCAUGUUGGUCAGGCUAGUCUUCAACUCCUGACCUCGUGAUCCGCCCGCCUCGGCUUCCCAAAGUGCUGGGAUUACAGGUGUGAGCCACUGCACCCAGCCUAACAGGAUUUUCUUAAAAAAAAAAACAAAAAAAAAACAAAAUUAGUCAUUGAAAGUAGGUUAAAAUUGCCAUAGUAUAUUUUCAUUUUUCUGUCUUUGUAAAAAAAAAAAAAAAAA